GUGGAGUCUCCCUCACUGAAGAAGUACACGGCAACUGAUGAGCACGGAGCAUCUGUGGCAAAGGAAAAAAACACCGUCUUCAAAUUUUGAGGAGCAAACAUGACCCUUUCUGUUUCUACUGUUUCCCACCCACAUUCAGUUACUGGGAUCGCAGCAAGAGUCGUGCACACAAGGUGUUGCCCAAAGUGGGAAAAAUGGGGAUUGCAGCAUGAAAAGCCAAGCUUAAUGAUUGCUAAGAUAAUGUUGACUUCAGACAGGCCUGUUUUGUCCCACGUGCAUGGGCGUAAAUGUACAUAAGGUACCAUAUUUGAUGAACCGGGUGAAUGGAUCCAGAGGUCCUGCAGACAAUGGAUGCGUUGAGGGAUCCGCACAGGUUUCAGAGCUGCACGGUGCUCACUUGCUCUGCCAGGCAUGAGCUAAUGUACAGCUGAUUCCUCUCUGGGGGAUGCUUUGAUUCUGGGUUUCAAAGGGGACCCUUUCAGUAUUCCUAAUGAUUUUUUUGGCUACAAAGCUUUAUAGAGCAUUAUAGAGUUGCUGGGGACUCUGACACCAAAGA